UACGUAGGGUGCGAGCGUUGUCCGGAAUUAUUGGGCGUAAAGGGCUCGUAGGCGGUCUGUUGCGUCAGGAGUGAAAACUCGGGGCUUAACCCCGAGCCUGCUUCUGAUACGGGCAGACUAGAGGUAUGCAGGGGAGAACGGAAUUCCUGGUGUAGCGGUGAAAUGCGCAGAUAUCAGGAGGAACACCGGUGGCGAAGGCGGCGAUCUGGCCCAACAUUGACACUGAGACUCGAAAGUGCGGGGAUCAAACAGG
rnacentral:rRNA from 1 species